GACGAACGCUGGCGGCGUGAAUUAGGCAUGCAAGUCGAACGGUAUCAUCCUUUCGGGGGUGAGAGAGUGGCGAACUGGUGAGUAACACGUAGGUUAUCUACCCUCAAGACGGGGACAACCCAGGGAAACUUGGGCUAAUACCGGAUGUGAGCAACUUUUAGUUGUUUGAAAGGUGGCGUAAGCUGUCGCUUGGGGAUGAGCCUGCGUCCUAUUAGUUAGUUGGUGAGGUAACGGCUCACCUAGGCAAUGAUAGGUAGGCGGCCUUAACGGGUGGUCGCCCACACUGGGAUUGAGAUACGGCCCAGACUCCUACGGGAGGCAGCAGUCGAGAAUAGUCUACAAUGGUCGGAAGACUGAUAGUGCGACGCCGCGUGAACGAUGAAUCCCUUCGGGGUGUAAAGUUCUUUUAUAUGUGAGCAGUGCUUCUUAUAUUUAACAGUAUGGGGAGAGAGAUAUUAGCAUAUGAAUAAGCAACGGCUAACUCCGUGCCAGCAGCCGCGGUAAUACG
rnacentral:rRNA from 1 species